CGGACGGGUGAGUAAUGUCUGGGAAACUGCCCGAUGGAGGGGGAUAACUACUGGAAACGGUAGCUAAUACCGCAUAACGUCGCAAGACCAAAGAGGGGGACCUUCGGGCCUCUUGCCAUCGGAUGUGCCCAGAUGGGAUUAGCUAGUAGGUGGGGUAACGGCUCACCUAGGCGAUGAUCCCUAGCUGGUCUGAGAGGAUGACCAGCCACACUGGAACUGAGACACGGUCCAG
rnacentral:rRNA from 1 species